UUUAGGAGUCGAAGAUCCCCGUUGUCCUCUUGAUGGCCUAGAAAUUCCCAAGACGAGGGCAUGCAAGGCUUAUGGAGAGGCCCAUUGUGCAGACAAGUUUAAGCUUGUCGCGCAACCUGGCAUAGGGCACAAGAUGACACCAUUAAUGGUGAAAGAAGUGAGUGAUUGGUUUGAUCAGUUCCUCAAAUAAUAAUUUCAUCCAGUUGGGGCACAACAUGGGAAUAUAUUUCGUAAUGUGUUUGCUUUCGUUAUGAAUGAGUUGAUGA